CCUAUCGACCCCGCGGUUUGGUACCUCGAUGUCGGCUUUUCCUAUCCUGGUCCUGCAGCAGGGGCCAAGGGUGAGGCUGCUCGCCUAUUAAAAGGGAACAUGAGCUGGGUUUAGACCGUCGUGAGACAGGUCGGUCUCUGCCUGAUGGAAGCGUCGCUGUCUGAGGGGAAGUUGCUUUUAGUACGAGAGGAACAGAGCAGCGUGGCCGCUGGUCUACUGGUUGUCCGACAGGGCAGGCCAGGCAGCUAAGCCAUUUAGGUUAAGUGCUGAAAGCAUCUAAGCACGAAGCCUAUCCCGAGACAUGACAGCGUUACAUUAGUUGAAGAUCCGCAGCAGAAGACUGCGUUGAUAGAGUGGAGGUGUAGAUCACAAGCUUCGGCGAGUGGUGAGCCUGCCACUACUAAUCGAUCAAAACAUCGGUA
rnacentral:rRNA from 1 species